GGGUCUACCCAUUGGUCAGGCUUAAUUGUCUGCACUGGUGAGAUGGAUCUCUACCUUCUGAGGAACUUUCAUGUCAUUAAUUUGAUGUCGUGGAGAAUCAGGACUGUUACUUUGAAAAAAUUAGAGUGUUUAAAGCAGGCAUUAGCUUGAAUACAUUAGCAUGGAAUAAUGAAAUAGGACGUUUGAUCCUAUUUUGUUGGUUUCUAGGAUUGACGUA
rnacentral:rRNA from 1 species